rnacentral:rRNA from 1 species
AUGCUGCCUUGUGAUUUCUUUGCUUCUGCCUUGCAUUGCAUGAUGCCAUCUGUUAAAGUAGACUUGAAAAACUAUUUGCUUGGACAUGAUCAUACACACCCUGUUAGUGGCAUUGCUCAUAUCUCUGUUCAUGAUACUUAUGUUCCUAAUGCUAUACCCAUGCUUAAUGAAACGUGUGAUUCUAAUACUAGCAUUGAGCUUAUUGAUUGGUACCAUCCUAAACAUGUGCUUUAUAGCUAUGCUUAUGUAAUUGGAUAUUCGAUUGAUGACUUGGAGGGUAUUAUCCCUACCACUUGCAUUGUCUCUUUCGUUGAGUGCUCUUUCAGGUUCUUGCUUGUGCACGAAUCACUACAUGCUGACCAAGUUUGA